rnacentral:rRNA from 1 species
GAUGAGAGGACGGAGAAGGUUAAGUCAGCCUGGCGAUGGUUGUCCAGGUGAAAGGUUGUAGGCAUGUAUCUUAGGCAAAUCCGGGGUACUCUAUGCUGAGAACUGAUAGCAAGCUGUACUUGUACAGCGAAGUGGCUGAUACCAUGCUUCCAGGAAAAGUCUCUAAGCUUCAGUUACACAGGAAUCGUACCCGAAACCGACACAGGUGGUCAGGUCGAGUAGACCAAAGCGCUUGAGAGAACUCUGCUGAAGGAACUAGGCAAAAUGGUACCGUAACUUCGGGAGAAGGUACGCUGUCGACGGUGAUGGGAUUUACUCCCUGAGCGGUUGACAGCCACAGAAACCAGGCCCCUGCAACUGUUUAUUAAAAACAUAGCACUCUGCAAACACGAAAGUGGACGUAUAGGGUGUGAUGCCUGCCCGGUGCUGGAAGGUUAAUUGAUGGGGUUAGCGUAAGCGAAGCUCUUGAUCGAAGCCCCAGUAAACGGCGGCCGUAACGAUAACGGUCCUAAGGUAGCGAAAUUCCUUGUCGGGUAAGUUCCGACCUGCACGAAUGGCUUAAUGAUGGGGGCGCUGUCUCCAGCAGAGACUCAGUGAAAUCGAAUUCGCCGUGAAGAUGCGGUAUACCCGCGGCUAGACGGAAAGACCCCGUGAACCUUUACUGCAGCUUGACAUUGAACUUUGAUCUUACUUGUGUAGGAUAGGUGGGAGGCUUUGAAACCGAGACGCUAGUUUCGGUGGAGCCAAUCUUGAAAUACCACCCUGGUAAUAUUGAGGUUCUAACUCUGCUCCAUAAUCUGGAGCGAGGACCAUGUCUGGUGGGUAGUUUGACUGGGGCGGUCUCCUCCUAAAGAGUAACGGAGGAGUACGAAGGUGCGCUCAGCGUGGUCGGAAAUCACGCGUAGAGUAUAAAGGCAAAAGCGCGCUUAACUGCGAGACCCACAAGUCGAGCAGGUACGAAAGUAGGUCUUAGUGAUCCGGUGGUUCUGUAUGGAAGGGCCAUCGCUCAACGGAUAAAAGGUACUCUGGGAUAACAGGCUGAUACCGCCCAAGAGUUCAUAUCGACGGCGGUGUUUGGCACCUCGAUGUCGGCUCAUCUCAUCCUGGGGCUGAAGCAGGUCCCAAGGGUAUGGCUGUUCGCCAUUUAAAGAGGUACGCGAGCUGGGUUUAGAACGUCGUGAGACAGUUCGGUCCCUAUCUACCGUGGGCGCUGGAAAUUUGAGAGGAUCUGCUCCUAGUACGAGAGGACCAGAGUGGACGAACCUCUGGUGUACCGGUUGUGACGCCAGUCGCAUCGCCGGGUAGCUAUGUUCGGAAGGGAUAACCGCUGAAAGCAUCUAAGCGGGAAGCCUACCUCAAGAUAAGAUUUCCCUGUGACUU